GAGAAGACGCUAUUUUUGAAGUCAGCCUCUACAUUCGGGUUUUGCCUGCUCCCCAAAUAGUCCUGAGGAUUUGGAUUUCUGUGUACCAAACCCUGCCACCGCCUGCCCCCAAAAAGGGACAAUUAAAGUGGACAGUUGGAAUUCUGCUAAGACAAAAAAACCCGAAAACAACAAAUGAAAAACCAAAYGAAAAAAACCCAACCCCAGAAGUAAACCUGCAACACCUUGUGGAGAGGGUCAGCCUUUUAUAGCAAGUUAGAAGCAUCCAAAGAUAGAUCUGCAACAGCCACAUUCUGCCUGGAGCUUCCCGGCUCCUGACUCUGAGUGGGGAGAAGGUUUGGCUUCUGCUGCUGCCUUUCCUCAYAUGUUGGCACCUGGCAGCUCAAACAAGACUUGUGACCAUUCGUCYUGGGCAGGACUGCUUGCAUGUUUCCUUCCACAUGCUUUUAACCUUUAUCUCUAUGGGAAGUGAGUGAUAUGUGGCCUUGUUCAAGCAGCUGACCUUACAAACAGUGUGUGCUGUGCUGUGUCGUUUCAUGGAGCCAACUGCUUCUGGUGGCAGCAUGCUGUUUAUUGACAUAGCUAUGAGGGCUGCUACAUAAAAAUAUAACCAAGCCAUACACUGAACUACUUCCUAAAUGCUAUGAGUUUUUAUUUUUUUUAGUAUGUAUAUUGUUAGUAUAUAUAUAAUUUCAGUGGAGGCUGGGAGAAAUGCAGUGUUAUAACCCUUACUAGCUAUAUUUCAGUAAGCACAAGCUUAUUCCAUCAAGUGGGAAUGUGAAGUGUGCAUAUCCAUAUGCACAUACAUGUGAUUGUACCUGUUCCUAAUCUGAUGAAGACUUCUCUUGUUUGAAGUGAAGCAAAUUGUUUUCUAUAUUUAAAAGCAAAGAUGCUCCUGUCCCUCUUCUGUCUAUGAUAUCAUUGCCUGAUAAGGCAGUUCUAAGAGUCUUAUCCUAAGAACUUCCUGCAAAGUACUUUCAUGCCCUCUUAUGAYAGACAAAAUUACAAAUUGCCAAAUCUAUUCAUAAUUGGGGUGAAAUAUAAUAAAAGAUAGGAAGGAAAAUACACAUAGGGCUAUGGAACAGGCUUUUUAUAAAGGAUUGUCUGUCUAUUAUACAUCUAACACCAGAGCCGAAGAGCCCUGGGCAAGGACAGUAUCAGAGCCCUUUGUGCCAGAGCCCUCGUAUGGGCUGGCAGCCUCCUCAGGA